GAAAGUGAGAAUGCGACCCUGAACGAUGC
rnacentral:sRNA from 1 species